GUGUAUUCCUAGGUAAUCCACUCUGUGUUACUUUACAAAAAGGCAACAAAAGGGGCAUUUAUUGACUUCUCUGCAAGGGCCAAGGAGGAGGUCCUUUCCUUCCUUGUAGUUUAGGAUAGAUUAGCGGUUAAGAAAGCGGGCGAAGGGCGAGGAAGGAAGAGAAAGAUGGGUUGCUUCGAUUGCUUCGAUGGAGGAGCAAAGAGGGAGCAAAGGAAAGAAGCGGAACGAUUAGCUUCAGAGGAAGCUCGUGCCAGAGCCGCCGAAGCUGCCCAGAAAAGACAAGAGCAGUUUGAACAAUCUGCUGCUGGAAGAGCUGCACGUGCCCAGAUGGAAGCAAUGGCCAAACAGUCUGCAAAUCCUAACAAAGGAGAACCUGCUCUCAAGUGGCAGAUGGGGUGAAGAUCUCGAAGGCUGACUCAUGCUAUACACUGCAAGUAUGUAUAAUGAAGCCCUCAUGGAUGAUGAACCACGUAGUCUUUGACAGUAAGUCCCAAUUGAAAAGCAAUUUUAUUGAAGUUGCAGAUGUGUGUGUGGUAGCUCUGUCAUGAACUCAUCUCUUACUCGGAUAGAAUGAUGCAAGCAUUCCUUCCAUCCUUUGCAUUUAUAAUUGUUAAAUCAUGGACGAGGUCCAUCAUGCGCUAUGCAUUGUGAAUCCAGUUCACUAUGUACCUUUAGUUAACUGAGAUUAUGUACGGUAAUGUAUUUUGUACUUGCAAUU